AAUGAAACUUCCGUGUCAGCGGCUUGCUUGAAUGCGAGAUAUGGUCGUUUCGGGCUGGAAUUUAUGUCCGUUACGCCAUAU
rnacentral:sRNA from 12 species